rnacentral:tRNA from 1 species
GGGCGAUUAGCUCAGGGGUAGAGCACUGCAUUCACACUGCAGGGGUCAGAAGUUCGAAACUUCUAUCGCCCACCA